CUCACUCCCCAGGCCCACACACUAGCCCACUGUUCAGGGUCCGGGGUGGCAGCAUGGCCUGGGGGUCCUGGCACCGCUGCUCCUCUGCCCACCCUAACUUCCCGGCAUGGCGGCUGCCCCCUCUGAGCGUCCCCAACCAAACUGCAGGGGAUAUGAAGCAAGCUGGACUUGGGGAGACAUCUCUGCUCGAGUGCACGUUGGCCUGAUGACGACUGCUCUUGGGUUCACGGGUUCCAGGCUCUGCCCGGGAGCCUCAUGCAAACUGGUCCCGUUCUACAGACGAGGAAACUGAGGCACAGAGUGAUUACGGCUGUCCCUGAGCUCCUGCAGCCAGUAAGUGUCUCUGAGGAUGAACUGCCAUGUGCCCGGCGGGGAUGCCGUCCCUGGCCCUUGCUGAGUGCCUCUGGGACGAGGUCAGCUGAGCCUGCCAUCCUAACUCAGACACCAUCUCACUCUCCAAGUCCCUUCUCGGCCCAGCAAAUUCUCACCUCCAGAGGCCAGGUCUGCCCCGCAGGUCUUAGGAAAUACAGCCCUACUUCCAUCCAGCACACCAACCCAAGGAAGUGCCUCGGAGCCCUGGGGCCCGAGGGGGGCCUGGCCUUGGUCUCACGGCGGCAGCUCCACCUGGAGAGGAGUGAACUCAAGCCAGGACGCCCCGUCUCCACAGCGGAAACCGUGUUGCCGGCUGCUCCCUCCUGGGGACUCUGGGCCUGAGGUUCCUGUGGGAGUUGGGGGGAUAGCUGAGUCCUAUGGAGGUGCCCCUCUCCUCCCCGCCCAGUGGAGCUUGGGGUGGGGACAGGCGAAGACAGGGUGAGAAGCACGGGGCAUUCCCCCUCCACACAGCGCUGAGAAAGUAAGGGAGCAUCCAGAAAACGGUGCCCACUUCCGCGUCAGGCGGAUAUCACGGGCACCAGCUCCAGGUGACCCUAGCCCAGCCAGAGAACAAGGACCAGGUUGUGCCGCA
rnacentral:lncRNA from 1 species